AUGCGCCUGUUCGGGAGCGAGCCGCCGCUGCGGUCCGGGCAUGCGGUGGUGAUCGACGACGCGCUGACGGAGGGGCCAAACCCGGCAUCGAUCCCUGUGGGGCGUGCGCAGGGGAUGUACAUGUUCGCGCCCAUGCACGACCAGGUGUUGCUCUUGUGCAUGAAUGUGGUGAUCACGGCCAUGUACUCCGGGAGCACCUUCACUGUCGUCGGCCGCGACAACAUGGUGGAGCCACUCUGGGAGCUGUCGGUGGUGGGCGGCACGGGGAGGUUUAGGAUGGCGACGGGCUACGUGCUCUGGAGGACGGCGAGCUGGCAGCAACGCAAGAACGCCGUCCUCGACUUGGACGUGUUUGUGUUUGUCUUUGUCCACGUCCACGCCUACGCCCAUGCAUGA
rnacentral:rRNA from 1 species